UUAAGCAAAGAAGAGCGCAGGGUGGAUGCCUUGGCACUAAGAGCCGAAGAAAGACGUGAUAAGCUGCGAAAAGCUGCGGGGAGAUGCAAAUAAUCCUUGAUCCGCAGAUGUCUGAAUGGGGAAACCCGGUACGAAGAACUCGUAUCAUCCAUACGCCAAUCCAUAACGUAUGGAGGGGAACCCGGUGAACUGAAACAUCUAAGUAGCCGGAGGAAGAGAAAGAAACAUCGAUUUUGUUAGUAGCGGCGAGCGAAAGCGAAAGAGGCCAAACCGGAGUGCGUGCACUCCGGGGUUCGGACCGCAUUUAAGAUUCAGUGAUUCUAGCAGAAAGGUUUGGGAAAGCCUGCCGGAGAGGGUGAAAGCCCCGUAAGCGAAAGGAAAACUGACUGAGCGGGAUCCAGAGUACAUCGAGACACGAGAAACCUUGAUGGAAUGAGCGGGGACCACCCCGUAAGCCUAAAUACUACUUAGUGACCGAUAGCGCAUAGUACUGUGAAGGAAAGGUGAAAAGGACCCCGGGAGGGGAGUGAAAGAGAACCUGAAACCCUGUGUUUACAAGCUGUGGAAGUUCUUUAAAUGAACAACCGCGUACUUUUUGUAGAACGGUCCGGCGAGUUGCGGAUACUGGCAAGGUUAAGCACUUAAGGUGCGGAGCCGAAGGGAUACCAAGUCUUAACAGGGCGUUAAGUCAGUAUACGCAGACCCGAAACCGGGUGAUCUAUCCAUGUCCAGGUUGAAGUUGUCGUAAAAGACAAUGGAGGACCGAAGCCACAUCCGUUGAAAAGGGUGGGCAUGAGGUGUGGAUAGGGGAGAAAUUCCAAUCGAACCCGGAGAUAGCUGGUUCUCCUCGAAAUAGCUUUAGGGCUAGCCUCGAUUUAGUCUUAUGGAGGUAGAGCACUGAAUUUCCGCGGGGGCGUCAAAGCUUACCAAAGAAUAUCAAACUCCGAAUGCCAUGUAGAUGAUGAUCGGGAGUCAGACUGCACGAGAUAAGUUGGGCAGUCAAAAGGGAAAGAGCCCAGACCACCGGCUAAGGUCCCAAAGUGCGUGUUAAGUGGAAAAGGAUGUGGGAAUUCGAAGACAACUAGGAUGUUGGCUCAGAAGCAGCCAUACAUUCAAAGAGUGCGUAACAGCUCACUAGUCGAGAGUUCCUGCGCCGAAAAUGUCCGGGGCUGAAACACGACACCGAAGCCGUGGACUCGCAAUGCGAGUGGUAGAGGAGCAUUCUUAAAACCGACGAAGCUGUACCGGAAGGAGCAGUGGAGGGAUAAGAAGAGAGAAUGCCGGAAUGAGUAGCGAGAGAAAGGUGGGAAUCCUUUCGGCCGAAUAUCUAAGGUUUCCAGAGUAAAGCUGAUCUGCUCUGGGUAAGUCGGGGCCUAAGCACAGGUCGCAAGACGUAAGCGAUGGAUAACAGGUUUAGAUUCCUGUACCACGCAUUAUCAGAACUGUAGGGACGCAUGUGGAAAGCACGAGCCGGGAAUGGAAAGACCGGUACAAGCGGGGUAGGUGUACAAUAGGCAAAUCCGUUGUAUAAUCCGAAGACGUGAUGUGGAGCGAAAUAAAGUAGUGAAGCGUGUGAGCCAUGUGCCGAGAAAAGCUGCUAUUGUGUAAUGCGUGCCCGUACCGUAAACCGACACAGGUGGAUGAGGAGAGAAUCCUAAGGCCGACGGAAGAAGCAUUGUUAAGGAAUUCGGCAAAAUGACCCCGUAACUUCGGGAGAAGGGGUGCCUGCGAGAGCAGGCCGCAGAGAAUAGGCUCAAGCAACUGUUUAGCAAAAACACAGGUCUAUGCGAAACCGAAAGGUGAAGUAUAUGGGCUGACGCCUGCCCGGUGCUGGAAGGUUAAGAGGAGAGGUUAGCGUAAGCGAAGCUUUGAAUUUAAGCCCCAGUAAACGGCGGCCGUAACUAUAACGGUCCUAAGGUAGCGAAAUUCCUUGUC
rnacentral:rRNA from 1 species